rnacentral:rRNA from 1 species
CAGUCGAACGAAGACAUCUGAGUGCUUGCACUUGGAUGGACUGAGUGGCGCACGGGUGAGUAACGCGUGGGUAACCUGCCUUAUACAGGGGGAUAACAGUUGGAAACGACUGCUAAUACCGCAUAAGCGCACGGUAUCGCAUGAUACAGUGUGAAAAACUCCGGUGGUAUAAGAUGGACCCGCGUCUGAUUAGCUUGUUGGUGAGGUAACGGCCCACCAAGGCGACGAUCAGUAGCCGGCCUGAGAGGGUGAACGGCCACAUUGGGACUGAGACACGGCCCAAACUCCUACGGGAGGCAGCAGUGGGGAAUAUUGCACAAUGGGGGAAACCCUGAUGCAGCGACGCCGCGUGAGUGAUGAAGUAUUUCGGUAUGUAAAACUCUAUCAGCAGGGAAGAUAAUGACGGUACCUGACUAAGAAGCACCGGCUAAAUACGUGCCAGCAGCCGCGGUAAUACGUAUGGUGCAAGCGUUAUCCGGAUUUACUGGGUGUAAAGGGUGCGUAGGUGGUAUGGCAAGUCAGAAGUGAAAGGCUGGGGCUCAACCCCGGGACUGCUUUUGAAACUGUCAAACUAGAGUACAGGAGAGGAAAGCGGAAUUCCUAGUGUAGCGGUGAAAUGCGUAGAUAUUAGGAGGAACACCAGUGGCGAAGGCGGCUUUCUGGACUGAAACUGACACUGAGGCACGAAAGCGUGNGGAGCAAACAGGAUUAGAUACCCUNGUAGUCCACG